AACGAACGCUGGCGGCGUGCCUAACACAUGCAAGUCGAACGAUGCCUUCGGGCAUAGUUGCGCACGGGUGCUGAACGCGGGGGAAUCUGCCUUUCGGUUCGGAGUAACUCAGGGAGACUUGAGCUAAUACCGGAUAACGUCGCAAGACCAAAGAUUUAUCACCGAAAGAUGAGCCCGCGUAGGAUUAGCUAGUUGGGGAGGUAAAGGCUCACCAAGGCGACGUUCCUUAGCUGGUCUGAGAGGAUGAUCAGUCACACUGGGACUGAGACACGGCCCAGACUCGUACGGGAGGCAGCAGUGGGGAAUAGCGGAAAACGGGCGAGAGCCUGAUCCAGCAAUGCCGCGUGAGUGAUGAAGGCCUUAGGGUUGUAAAGCUGUCUUAACCGGGAAGAUAAUGACGGUACCGGGAGAAUAAGCCCCGGCUAACUCCGUG
rnacentral:rRNA from 1 species